AGAGCGAGCGCUCGUCGAUAGGUCUGCUAGCAACAGCCGUGCUGCAGCAGAGAGAGAGAGAAAUCAAGAAACAAGUCAUAGCAACACCGGGCACCAGGUUCUGCCAGCUCACUUGCCAAGGGCUCAGAAAUCUGCCGUGGCCGGAGGCCUCUGGGUGGCCUGGCUAAGGGGAUGACACGCAAGGCGACGAUGGGUGGUCCGAUGGGCUUCAGGACUUGAUGGCGUAACCCCCUUCUUACCCCACUGUCAGCUGCUCCAGCCAGACCGGGGCAGAGAAGAGAGGAGCAGACCGUCCCUGGCGGCCCACCUGACCUCCCAGCCUUUACCCCCAUUUCCUUCUACCAGACAGACAGACGGACUGGUUUCCCAGGUUGUCUGGGUGUCAGCGUCUGUCUGUCCAUCUGUGUGGUUCUCAGGUGGAAGGUAGGGCGUGAGAAGUGCUGGGAGGGAGGCGAGGGGGGCGGCUUUCCAGGGGUUGCCUUGCUGAAAUGUUCGGCCCUGGGGAUCUGGGUCUGGUGGGGAGCCCGUGGGCAGGAUGGGGCGUGGGCCGGGAGAAGCGGGGGCACGCGGGUAGGUUUGUCACUGCGUAGUUGGGGAAAGUGGGGACUGGUGACGCAGUCACUGUGGGAUCUUGUUAGGCGCUCUGGGGGGACAGGUAGUGGGGCUGCCGGGACCUAUAGGGCCAGCUGAGAGGGGUUAAGGAUGAGCUGAGAAGGGAAGCUAGCAUUUAGAGAUUAAAUGUCAUCCUUUUGGCGUUGGAAAGUUGUUUACCUUGCGCUCUCUGUGUCUCCAUGUUGGCACCCUUCCAGUUCACAUGUGAUGGCCUUCCUUGUACUGCUGCAUCAUUAACUAAGUGACUGAGCUGGCCUUCCAUUGGCCAGGGGAGGGCUCUCACGCCAGACACUUCCUCUGAUUGGUGGGCGGGCCAGUGGCAGGUGAAAACCUCUUUUUGAUUGGCUGAAGGCAGGGUAUCAAAUCUGAAUUUGCAUUUCACUUGCUUAAAGGGGAGGGGGAGAAGCCCAGCAGCCUUCUAAAAUCUGUUUAGGGGUGUGCGUAUGCUCCUGCGCGUAUGCUUUCUUCUGACUGACCAGUCGAAGCCUCUUCCUGUGCCUUUUUAAUUAUUUCAUGCGCUAUGAGGAAGAAGAGCCGAGAGCUCCCCAAACUUUUUUUUUUUUUUUUUGGUUGGGGCGAAGGUUGAGGAGAUGGGAGCGCAGGGGGAUGACCAAACUGGAAGGAAAUAUUCGUUCUUUAGUUUGGUGUCAGAAAAGGGAAUUUUCCAAUCAGCCACACCUCAGUGUUGCGGCAAAAUAAUUCUUGGCUCCCCUGGAAACGCAUGGGCAAGGUAGGGCAGAGCUGCUGCUGCCACCACCCUCGGCUUCCUGCNNNNNNNNNNNNNNNNNNNNNNNNNNNNNNNAAGAGAUUUGACGUCCCGGGCUGUCCAGAGCUGAGCCCAUUAUGGGAGGACCUGCCUUCUGGAAGCUGCUGCUCCCUGGUGCUCAGAAAGGUACCCCGUCGGGCUCGUUCACAGCGGCUGUUUCAUUUGUGCCUCAUCCCACCCCUGCGAGGAGCGGGCCGUGGCCGAAGAGGAGGCGGAGGAGACGGAGGUGGCGUGGGCUGUAGCAUCUUCGGAGCAGGAUAAAGAAGCCCUGGAACCCGGAGUCUUCAUGUCCUCAGCCCACGGGAUGGAGCCACGCUAACUGCUCCACAGAAAUGCCCUAAGCUGCUGCCAAGCCGGAGCUUCUGCAUCGGGAAAACGCCAUGGGAACGGAGCCUUGAGCAUUGGUGGUGGCAGAGUGAGGGUUAACCAGUGAGCCUUCCUGGGAGCUUUUUGAUGCCAGUGUGUCGGGAGCUGGGAGAUGGAGCACUCAGCCGAGCGGCCAGGACGUUCUGUCAACAUGAAAGCAGCAAAAACAGCUUGUCGGGGCUGGGAGCUGACCCUGGGCUGGGGUCAUUUUCAGGAAGGGCUUGGCAGAGGGAAGGACACCGCCAGGCAUCGGGUUGGGGGCGACGUCCAGUAACUCAUGAGGGCUCUGUAGACCCUUGAAUUUGAGAAUCGGAAAAGAAAACGCAGCUGUUUUGUGCUACUAGGUGAGCUUGGCCAGCGGGAUCCCUUCCUGAGGUUCUCUCUCUGGCCCCUAAGGCGAGACCUCUUCCCAGGUCCAGCCGUGGCUCCUCGCCUUGAAUGGAAGGUGACACGGUGGGCCUCGAGCUCCUGACCUCUGGGUGUAGCUGCGUGGCAUCAUGGCGGCUCAGGGUUCCAGGCCCUUCUGGCCUCUGCGGCACUGCGCUAGGCGCGCGUGACAUCCCCGCCCCGCCCGCCCGCCAUGCCUUACCGGGCGCAAGAGAGAGGAUGGGCCUCCACUGCCACUGAGUCUCGGCCGAGCCUUGUCCCCAGCGUCUGGUCGCCCCUCUCUCUUCCCCCAUGGCAGCCAGCAUCUGGGCAGAGGGACACACACCUUGGGGGGCCCUGGCUCUGGGGCUCUCGGCCCCCUUGCCGUGUGCCAUUUUUCAGCCUCACGCUUUCCUGAGGAUGAUACCAGCGCUGACAUUUGUCGCUGAGCGCCUCCUCCUCUCCCCAAGGACCUCCCCGCGUGACUCGUUUGGUUUCUAGGAGUGGCCCUGGGGCCUUGGGA
ensembl:lncRNA